UCCUUCUUAAUCCAUGGCCCACAGCACCGCCGCGCUCGCCGGGAUGAGGGGCCGCGCCGCACGAGGGUAGCCGCCGCAGGGUUGCGGGCCUAGAACUCGGCCGUCAGGGGUGGGGGUGGGGGUGGGGUGGGGGUGGGGUGGGGUGGGGGCGGGGGGGCGGCGCUCCCACGUCCGGAUGGGCCUACACAAAAGCCGGCCGGGCGCUCGGGGCCUCUCCGCGGGCUGGCGGGUGGCGAGGCCCGCGGCCUGGGCUCCUCCUCAGGCCCCUCCGGGGCAACGCGAGCGGCGACGACGGCGACGACGCUUCCCGGGCCCAGUUCCUCUCGGCCCACGACUCCCCAUCCACCGCCUACCCAGGCCGCCUGAGACGCUCUCCUCAGCCGUGGGCCCCAGGAAGAGAGGCUGAAGGCGAGCACACAAACACACCUCCCUUCGUUACCCCCGGCCGUAAGAUGGCCGCAGCCGCCGCGCCGGGGCGGCGAGGUCUCCGCGACCGUCAGGCGCCCCGAGGCCCUUCGCUCCCUUUGUGCAGCCGCCGCCGCCGCUACGGCCGUCCGCCCACCCGCCCAGGCGUGAAUGCAUCAGCGGAGGCCUUCGCGACUGUCCAUGUGGACAGGGUCUGGUCGCUCACUACCAAGUUCAAACCGUAGACCUACUCUUCCAAACUCAGUGAUGCAAACAUCCCAUCUCCAACCACAAUGGUCAACUGUGAUGCCCAAAGGACCAACAUCUGCAAGGCUACACAAUCAUCCUAUGCAAACAGAAUUCAGAGGAAAACAGAAUUAAGACAGACUACAGGACCUUUGAAAGGAUCCAAGAACAUGAAACCCUCCCCAAAGCUACUCCUUUGCUGGCGUUCUUGCUCAAUACAAAGUGUUGCCAUCUACCUACUUUCACAAACUAGAAACCUAGGAAUCACUCUUGACUUGUUUUUUAAUUAAAUCUACAUCCUUGGGUAUGUCUUGAAUCUAUUCACAUUUUUUUCCAUUUCUAAUGAGCCCACCCUAGUCUCAGCCAUGAUCACCUCCCAGCCAUACCACUGUAAUAACAGCUUCAAACAGGCCAUUCCAUAUUCUCUACCCAUCUUCUAAUCCUUUCUCGCACAAAAGCUACAAUGAGCCUUAAAAAAAAAAAAAUCAGAUCAAAGCACCUUCCUGUUUAAAACCAUUCAAAGGUUUCCUGUUGCUCUUAGGAUAAAAUCCUAAAUCCUUACUUGAUCUGGGCCCUCCCUAACUACUUCAUGAGCCUCAUCUUAAUAGCAUUUUCACCUUCUCAUUAAGCUGCAACCAUUUUGUACUUCUUUCAGUUCCACAAAUGCUUCAUCUUUUUUUCUACUUCAGAGCCUUUGAACAUGUUUUAUCCUCCAUCCUCAAUGCACUUUUUGUCUAAAUAGAGC
rnacentral:lncRNA from 12 species